rnacentral:rRNA from 1 species
UACGAGUGCCUCGAGCGUUAUCCGGAAUUAUUGGGCGUAAAGGGUGCGUAGGUGGUCAUAUUAGUCUCUCGUUAAAUUCCUCGGCACAACCGGGGGCAUGCGGGGGAAACGGUAUGACUUGAGGAUGCGAGGGGUCUCUGGAACUCUAGGUGUAGCGGUGAAAUGCGUUGAUAUCUAGGGGAACACCAAAAGCGAAGGCAAGAGACUGGAGCAUUCCUGACACUGAGGCACGAAAGCGUGGAUAGCGAACGGG